CUUUGGCAGAACAUAGGUAUAUUAAAAUUGGAAUGACACAGAGAAGAUUAGCAUAACCUCUGCGCAAGGAUGAUACCAAAAAAUCUGAAGUGUUUCACAUUUUU